rnacentral:rRNA from 1 species
GACGAACGCUGGCGGAGUGCUUAACACAUGCAAGUCGAACGAUGAACCCGGAGCAUGCUCCGGUGGAUUAGUGGCGAACGGGUGAGUAACACGUGAGUAACCUGCCCUUGACUCUGGGAUAACUGCGGGAAACUGUAGCUAAUACCGGAUACGACCCUCGGCGGCAUCGCCAGGGGGUGGAAAGAAUUUCGGUCAAGGAUGGACUCGCGGCCUAUCAGCUAGUUGGUGAGGUAACGGCUCACCAAGGCUACGACGGGUAGCCGGCCUGAGAGGGUGACCGGCCACACUGGGACUGAGACACGGCCCAGGCUCCUACGGGAGGCAGCAGUGGGGAAUAUUGCACAAUGGGCGCAAGCCUGAUGCAGCAACGCCGCGUGAGGGAUGACGGCCUUCGGGUUGUAAACCUCUUUUAGUAGGGAAGAAGCGAAAGUGACGGCACCUGCAGAAAAAGCACCGGCUAACUACGUGCCAGCCGCCGCCGUAA